CAUCAACCUGGCCUAGCCAGACAACAGGCAAAGAGAAUACCAUGAAUACUAUUACCCACAAAACUGUAUAACACAAAAAAGGAAAUGUUUUUUGCGCCGCCGCCAUAUAGCUGG